UACGGGGGGGGCAAGCGUUGUUCGGAAUUACUGGGCGUAAAGGGCUCGUAGGUGGCCAACUAAGUCAGACGUGAAAUCCCUCGGCUUAACCGGGGAACUGCGUCUGAUACUGGAUGGCUUGAGUUCGGGAGAGGGAUGCAGAAUUCCAGGUGUAGCGGUGAAAUGCGCAGAUAUCGGGAGGAACACCAAUGGCGAAGGCAGCUCGCUGGGACGGUACUGACGCUGAGACGCGAAAGCGUGGGGAGCAAACAGG
rnacentral:rRNA from 1 species